GCGCCCGUGGCGGAAUUGGCAGACGCGCUGGAUUUAGGUUCCAGUGUCCUAGGACGUGGGGGUUCAAGUCCCCCCGGGCGCA
rnacentral:tRNA from 1 species